AUUGAACGCUGGCGGCAGGCCUAACACAUGCAAGUCGAGCGGAUGAAGGGAGCUUGCUCCUGGAUUCAGCGGCGGACGGGUGAGUAAUGCCUAGGAAUCUGCCUGGUAGUGGGGGAUAACGUCCGGAAACGGGCGCUAAUACCGCUUACGUCCUGAGGGAGAAAGUGGGGGAUCUUCGGACCUCACGCUAUCAGAUGAGCCUAGGUCGGAUUAGCUAGUUGGUGGGGUAAAGGCCUACCAAGGCGACGAUCCGUAACUGGUCUGAGAGGAUGAUCAGUCACACUGGAACUGAGACACGGUCCAGACUCCUACGGGAGGCAGCAGUGGGGAAUAUUGGACAAAGGGCGAAAGCCUGAUCCAGCCAUGCCGCGUGUGUGAAGAAGGUCUUCGGAUUGUAAAGCACUUUAAGUUGGGAGGAAGGGCAGUAAGUUAAUACCUUGCUGUUUUGACGUUACCAACAGAAUAAGCACCGGCUAACUUCGUG
rnacentral:rRNA from 1 species